rnacentral:rRNA from 1 species
UAGGGAAUAUUGGUAAUGUGCGAAAGCGCGAACCAGCAACGCCGCGUGUGCGAUGACGGCCUUCGGGUUGUAAAGCACUUUUUGAGGGGAUGAGGAAGGACAGUACCCUCAGAAUAAGCCUCGGCUAACUACGUGCCAGCAGCCGCGGUAAAACGUAGGAGGCGAGCGUUAUCCGGAUUUACUGGGCGUAAAGCGUGUGUAGGCGGUUUGAUAAGUUGGAUGUGAAAGCUCCUGGCUUAACUGGGAGAGGUCGUUCAAAACUAUCAGACUUGAGAGUGGUAGAGGGAGGUGGAAUUCCGGGUGUAGUGGUGAAAUGCGUAGAUAUCCGGAGGAACACCAGUGGCGAAAGCGGCCUCCUGGCCCAUUUCUGACGCUCAGACACGAAAGCUAAGGUAGCAAACG